GACGCAAAGAAAAUUCCGCAGGGCCAAACCAAACGAACCGAGACGCGCAACGCCCACACUGCGCUCCUCUGAUCUGCGUUCGUCUUCCUUCUCACACCACUUCCUCCCAAAUCCCCCCCGCGCUUCCUGAUUCGAAGAACCCUAGCGCCCGCCAUUUGAUGCGGCGGCGCCCGCCAUGUCGUCCUGGGGCCUGGGCUGGAAGCGCAGCUCCGAGAUCUUCCACCUCACCCUCGACUACGGCGACUUCGCCGACGAGCCCGAUCAGGACCCCUCCUCGCCCCCGGCCCCGCCCCCGCAGUCCCCCACCGCCGCGUCGCCCACCGCCUCCUCCUCCUCGCCCGUCGCCACCAUGAACGGCGACCUCGGCUUCCGCAUCGAGCUCGACUGGUCCACCAGCGACGACGAGGACCAGGUCGCGCUGCGCCUCCAGUCCCAGCUCAUGGUCGCGCUGCCCCCGCCCCACGACGUCGUCUGCGUCGAUCUCAGGCCCGCCGACGACGGGGACGAGGUGGGGGUGGAGAUGCGGGUCGUCAGGAGACGGGAGGCGCUGCGCUCGGUGCGGGUCGCGCGGGCGCUGGGCUCCACGCAGAGCACCGGCGACGGCGCCGUUGUCCUCGCGCGCCUCAUCAGAUCCAACCUCGCGCCCGCACCGGCUGCUGAUGGAGCCGUCGCCGCAGGGGUGCCCGUGCUCGCCGACCACUGGCGCUCCGUCACGGUGCUCAGCCUCUGCAACUGCGGCCUCAUGGUGCUUCCGGUUGAACUAACUCGCCUUUCGUUUCUUGAGAAGCUAUAUAUUGACAACAAUAAAUUGUCAGUUUUGCCACCUGAAGUUGGUGACUUGAAGAACUUGAAAGUGCUUACAGCUGACAACAACAUGCUAGUUUCUGUCCCUGUAGAACUGCGGCAAUGUGUUUUGCUGGAGGAAUUAUCACUAGAACACAACAAGCUUGUCCGUCCAUUAUUGGAUUUCAGGUCAGUGCCUAAGCUGCGUGUAUUGCGCUUGUUCGGAAAUCCCCUAGAGUUUCUUCCAGAAAUUUUGCCGCUGCAUAACCUUAGACAUCUCACACUUGCAAAUAUUAGAAUUGAUGCACUUGAAAGUCUUAAGUCUGUCACUGUGGAAAUAGAGACUGAGAACUAUUCCUACUUCAUUGCGGCCAGGCACAAACUUAGUGCCUUCUUUUCGCUUGUUUUCCGGUUCUCUUCCUGUCACCACCCUUUGCUGGCCUCUGCGUUGGCCAAAAUAAUGGAAGAUCGUACCAAUCAAGUUGCCAUUAGCAAAGAAGAAAAUGCUGUCAGACAGCUUAUCAGCAUGAUAAGCAGUGAUAACCGUCACGUGGUCGAGCAAGCAUGCCUUGCUCUUUCGUCACUGGCGUCAGAUAUUUCAUCAGCAAUGCAGCUGAUUAAGUGUGAUAUUAUGAAGCCUAUAGAAGCUGUACUGAAAUCAUUUGAUGAUGAAGAAUUAAUAUCAGUAUUGCAAGUUGUGGUCACAUUAACUUUUGUUUCUGAUCAUGUUGCUCAAAAGAUGUUGAGAAAAGAUGUGCUGAAGUCACUGAAAGCACUUUGUGCACACAAGAACUCUGAGGUGCAACGCUUAUCUCUAUUUGCAGUUGGCAAUUUGGCUUUCUGCUUGGAGACUCGUCGCACCCUCAUUCACUCUGAGAGCUUACGUGACCUCUUAAUUCGCUCUACUUUUUCACAAGAGAAGCGUGUCAGCAAGGCAGCUGCUCGCGCUCUCGCAAUUCUAGGGGAGAACGAGAACUUGCGUCGGGCAAUAAGAGGGAGACCAGUUGCAAAGAAGGGUCUGCGCAUUCUUUCAAUGGAUGGUGGUGGCAUGAAGGGCCUUGCAACUGUCCAAAUGCUAAAACAGAUAGAGCAAGGAACUGGGAAGCGCAUACAUGAAAUGUUUGACCUCAUAUGUGGUACAUCAACAGGUGGCAUGCUUGCGAUGGCUCUUGGAAUCAAGCAGAUGAGUUUGGAUCAGUGUGAAGAGAUAUAUACAAAACUUGGUAAACUUGUAUUUGCGGAACCUGUCCCUAAGGACGAAGCUGCUACAUGGAAGGAGAAACUUGAUCAACUUUUCAAAAGUUCAUCACAGAGUUUUAGAGUGGUUGUACAUGGGUCGAAGCACAGCGCAGAUCAAUUUGAGAGGUUACUAAAGGAAAUGUGUGCUGAUGAUGACGGUGACCUUCUAAUAGAGUCUUCUGUGAAAGGCAUUCCGAAGGUUUUUGCUGUAUCAACUUUAGUCAGCGCCAUGCCUGCCCAACCAUAUAUAUUCCGGAACUAUCAGUAUCCACCGGGCACUCUGGAGGUAUCACCAGGAAUGGCAGAAAGUCCAUCUCCUGGCGCAGUUGGAACGGUUGUUUCUGGUGCACCAGUUGGGAUUAAACGUGGAGCUUUUAUGGGGAGCUGCAAGCAUCACGUAUGGGAAGCCAUAAGAGCAUCAUCUGCAGCUCCAUAUUAUCUGGAUGAUUUCUCUGAUGAUGUAAAUCGCUGGCAAGAUGGAGCGAUUGUAGCGAACAAUCCCACGAUCUUUGCAAUAAGAGAAGCACAACUUUUGUGGCCUGAUACGAGAAUAGAUUGCCUAGUUUCAAUAGGGUGUGGCUCAGUUCCAACUAAGAGCCGGAGAGGUGGAUGGCGCUACUUGGACACUGGGCAAGUUUUAAUAGAAAGUGCAUGCUCAGUGGAGAGAGUGGAAGAAACUUUGGAUACACUGAUACCUAUGCUUCCUGAGAUGCAAUAUUUCCGCUUUAAUCCAGUUGAUGACCGGUGUGGUAUGGAGUUAGAUGAGACUGACCCGGCUGUCUGGCUUAAGUUGGAGGCUGCAACCGAAGAGUAUAUUCAGAAAAAUUUAGAGGUUUUUAAGAAUGUUUGUGAGCUUUUAGUUCCAAGAUAUCAAGAGGAAGAGAAGUCUUCUGGAAUUGUCAAAUCCCUGUCAUUUUCAAGAUUGAGUACAUCAAAAUCAGGUUUAAGUGAAAGUAAUCCUACCUUGGGAUGGAGACGUGUGGUUCUACUUGUAGAGGCUUCAUUUAAUCCUGAUUUUGGAAAGAAGAUAAAUCAUACUCGUUCGCUUGAAGCAUUCUGUUCUCAGAAUGGUAUUAGGCUUACUCUAAUGAAUAGCACUUCUGGAUUUGGAAAGCCAACUACUGCACUCCCAACUCCAAUUACCUCUCCCUUGUUUACUGGGAGUUUUCCAUCUAGUCCACUUCUGUAUAGUCCAGAAGGCACUCAACGGAUUGGUCGAAUUGACCUAGUUCCGCCGCUUAGCCUGGAUGGUCACCCAGCUAUGAAGUCAUCACCACCAACAUCGCCAAUAAAGUCAUGGCAGCCAUCUGGACAUGUUCGGUCACUGUAUGACAAGUUGCAAAAUAUGCCUCAGGUUGGUGUGAUACACCUGGCUCUUCAAAAUGAUUCAACUGGUUCGAUAUUGAGCUGGCAGAAUGACGUAUUUGUAGUUGCUGAGCCAGGGGAACUUGCAGACAGGUUUCUGCAGUGUGUCAAAACAAGCUUGUCUACCAUGCUGCAUGGAUCUAAAAGAAAGGGUGCAUAUUCUGUUUCAAAGAUUUCAUGUUUGUCUGAGUUAGUUGCGGAAUGGCCAUCGUUUGAAAUCGGUGGGAUACAUCACCGCUAUAUAGGACGCCAAACACAAGUAGGAACUGCCUUUUCCUUUUCUUUGUUUCCUAGACAGGUCAUUGGGUAUGCUAAGUUUCCUUGUCGCAGGUGAUGGAAGAUAACCAAGAAAUUGGUGCCUAUAUGUUCAGGAGGACAGUGCCUGCUUGUCACAUGUCACCUGAAGAUGUUCGCUGGAUGGUUGGAGCAUGGAGGGAGAGGAUUAUUGUGUGCAGUGGCAAGUAUGGUCUUGCUCAUGGCCUCGUCAAGGCAUUCGUGGAUUCUGGUGCCAAAGCAGUCAUCUCGUCAUCUGUCGAGCCUCCAGAUUCCCAGGCAAUCGCAUACCAUGGGAUGGAUGUAAGUGGAAGCCUCGAGAAUGGGAAGUUUGUCAUUGGGGAUGAUGAAGCUGAUGAGUCGGAGCCUGAACCUGUUAGCCCUAUAAGUGACUGGGAAGACAGCGAUGCUGAGAAAAACGGUGAAGGCAACAAAGAUAUUGAUGAAGAGGAGUACUUGGCUCAGUUUAUCUGCCUCUUAUAUGACAAGUUGUUCCGUGAGGGAGUCACAGUGGACACUGCUCUUCAACAAGCACUCCGCGCACAUCCUAGGUUGAAGUACAGCUGCCAUCUACCGAAUGUUUCGUAGUUAGUGAUAUUCACAACCCAUACAAAAUACGAAAUUGAUAAUACUAGAAAAAAAUAAGGAUCGUGUGGAUUCGUAAUGGGGUUAUAGAAUUCUUUUUACGAGGAAGGGGUUAUAGAGUUUAUACUCGUGUUCACUGUGCAGGCGGAGGUAGGUGAAAUCUUCCGCAGUUGUAAAACUGUAGUACAUAGAGCAUGUACUGAUGGAGACUAAUAGGAAAGCAAAUGAAAUAAAUGUUGAAGGCUUUGUACUGUGGUAGUGUUUCUGUUGAGAUUCAAAUGCCUGCGGUGUUAUUGU
rnacentral:rRNA from 1 species